UGGGGAAUUUUCCGCAAUGGGCGAAAGCCUGACGGAGCAAUACCGCGUGAGGGAGGAAGGCUCUUGGGUCGUAAACCUCUUUUCUCAGGGAAGAAAAAAAUGACGGUACCUGAGGAAUCAGCAUCGGCUAACUCCGUGCCAGCAGCCGCGGUAAUACGGAGGAUGCAAGCGUUAUCCGGAAUGAUUGGGCGUAAAGCGUCCGCAGGUGGCUAUGUAAGUCUGCUGUUAAAGCGUCUGGCUUAACCAGGUACAAGCAGUGGAAACUACAUAGCUAGAGUGCGUUCGGGGCAGAGGGAAUUCCUGGUGUAGCGGUGAAAUGCGUAGAUAUCAGGAAGAACACCGGUGGCGAAAGCGCUCUGCUAGGCCGCAACUGACACUGAGGGACGAAAGCUAGGGGAGCGAAUGGGAUUAGAUACCCCAGUAGUCCUAGCCGUAAACGAUGGAUACUAGGCGCUGUGCGUAUCGACCCGUGCAGUGCUGUAGCUAACGCGUUAAGUAUCCCGCCUGGGGAGUACGUUCGCAAGAAUG
rnacentral:rRNA from 1 species